rnacentral:rRNA from 1 species
AAUAGAUACCCUGGUAGUCCACGCCGUAAACGAUGAGUGCUGAGUGUUAGAGGGUUUCCGCCCUUUAGUGCUGAAGUUAACGCAUUAAGCACUCCGCCUGGGGAGUACGGCCGCAAGGCUGAAACUCAAAGGAAUUGACGGGGGCCCGCACAAGCGGUGGAGCAUGUGGUUUAAUUCGAAGCAACGCGAAGAACCUUACCAGGUCUUGACAUCCUCUGAUAACCCUAGAGAUAGGGCUUCUCCCUCGGGAGCAGAGUGACAGGUGGUGCAUGGUUGUCGUCAGCUCGUGUCGUGAGAUGUUGGGUUAAGUCCCGCAACGAGCGCAACCCUUGAUCUUAGUUGCCAUCAUUAAGUUGGGCACUCUAAGGUGACUGCCGGUGACAAACCGGAGGAAGGUGGGGAUGACGUCAAAUCAUCAUGCCCCUUAUGACCUGGGCUACACACGUGCUACAAUGGACGGUACAAAGAGCCGCAAGACCGCGAGGUGGAGCUAAUCUCAUAAAACCGUUCUCAGUUCGGA